CCUGUCCUUAGUACGAGAGGACCGGGAUGGACGUACCUCUGGUGUACCAGUUGUCCUGCCAAGGGCAUGGCUGGGUAGCUAUGUACGGAAUGGAUAAGCGCUGAAAGCAUCUAAGCGCGAAGUCAACUUCAAGAUAAGAUUUCCCACCGCAAGGGUAAGACCCCAGAAAGACUAUCUGGUUGAUAGGUCGAAGGUGUAAGUGCAGCAAUGUAUUUAGCUUAUCGAUACUAAUAGGUCGAGGACUUGACCAAU
rnacentral:rRNA from 1 species